rnacentral:rRNA from 1 species
AUUGAACGCUGGCGGUAGGCCUAACACAUGCAAGUCGAACGAGUGGCGGACUGGUGAGGAAUACAUCGGAAUCUGCUCUGUCGAGGCGGCUAACGUGGGGAAACUUACGCUAAUACCGCUUACGACUGUAUGAGCUGAUGUCGGAUUAGCUAGUUGGCGGGGUAAAGGCUCACCAAGGCGACGAUCCGCAGCUGGUCUGAGAGGAUGAUCAGCCACACUGGGACUGAGACACGGUCCAGACUCCUACGGGAGGCAGCAGUGGGGAAUAUUGGACAAUGGGCGCAAGCCUGAUCGAGCCAUACCGCGUGAGUGAAGAAGGCCUUCGGGUUGUAAAGCCCUUUUGUUGGGAAAGCGGUACCCAAAGAGUAAGCACCGGCUAACUACGUGCCAGCAGCCGCGGUAAUUC